rnacentral:rRNA from 1 species
UACGAGUGCCUCAAGCGUUAUCCGGAAUCAUUGGGCGUAAAGGGUGUGUAGGCGGUCAUGUUAGUCUUCUGUCAAAUUCUUCGGCCUAACCGGGGGUCCGCAGGGGAAACGGCAUGACUUUGAGGAUGCGAGAGGUGAAUGGAACUCUAAGUGUAGGGGUGAAAUCCGUUGAUAUUUAGGGGAACACCAAAAGCGAAGGCAAUUCACUGGCGCACUCCUGACGCUGAAACACGAAAGCGUGGGUAGCGAAUGGG